rnacentral:rRNA from 1 species
GCCUACCAUGGUUUUAACGGGUAACGGGGAAUUAGGGUUCGAUUCCGAAGAGGGAGCCUGAGAAACGGCUACCACAUCCACGGAAGGCAGCAGGCGCGCAAAUUACCCAAUCCCGACACGGGGAGGUAGUGACAAUAAAUAACAAUACGGGGCUCAUUUGGGUCUCGUAAUUGGAAUGAGUACAAUUUAAAUCUCUUAACGAGGAACAAUUGGAGGGCAAGUCUGGUGCCAGCAGCCGCGGUAAUUCCAGCUCCAAUAGCGUAUAUUAAAGUUGUUGCAGUUAAAAAGCUCGUAGUUGAAUUUCGGGAUUGACACAUCGGUCGUGCCUUAAGGGGUAUGAACUGGUGUAGUCAAUUUCUCACCUUCUGGAGAACCGCGAUGCCCUUAAUUGGGUGUCGCGGGGAACCAGGACCUUUACUUUGAAAAAAUUAGAGUGUUUAAAGCAGGCAUUUUGCUUGAAUACAUUAGCAUGGAAUAAUAAAAUAGGACGGCAUGAUUCUAUUUUGUUGGUUUCUAGGAUCACCGUAAUGAUUAAUAGGGAUAGUUGGGGGCAUUAGUAUUCAAUUGUCAGAGGUGAAAUUCUUGGAUUUAUUGAAGACUAACUACUGCGAAAGCAUUUGCCAAGGAUGUUUUCAUUAAUCAAGAACGAAAGUUAGGGGAUCGAAGACGAUCAGAUACCGUCGUAGUCUUAACCAUAAACUAUGCCGACUAGGAAUCAGACGAUGUUAAUUUUUUAAUGACUCGUUUGGCACCUUACG